AACACCUUGUGAAUUGUUACCCGUACUUGACAAGUUCAUUCGCCUAGAUUUCAGGGAGUGGCCGAGUCCAGCUAUGACUGUUGUCUUAGCUGGAGCUUGUCAUUAGCUUCUUACAAUGUAAUGUCAGCCUAAUACAUAUCAUAUGAAAAAUUAUGAAACAACUUUUGGCAACGGAUUUCUUGGCUCUCGCAACGAUGAAGAACGCAGCGAAAUGCGAUACGUAUCAUGAAUUGCAGAACUCUGAAUGAUAAAUGUUUGAACGCACAUGGCGCCAGCCUUUGGUUGGCAUGUCUGCCUGAGAAUCUUAAAAGUUUUCCUCAACGCAGUUGAAGCGUUGGCUUAUUGACAGCCGUUCGUAAUGAAAGCUGUUGGAAAGUACAUUCUGGAGUGCAUAUGUGCUUUUGACAAACUCAAAUCACCUGCGCACAAUCUAAAACUUGGUCUCAGAUCAGACAGGAGGACCCGCUGAACUUAAGCAUAUCAAUAAGC
rnacentral:rRNA from 1 species